rnacentral:rRNA from 1 species
AUUGAACGCUGGCGGCAGGCCUAACACAUGCAAGUCGAGCGGAUGAGUGGAGCUUGCUCCAUGAUUCAGCGGCGGACGGGUGAGUAAUGCCUAGGAAUCUGCCUGGUAGUGGGGGACAACGUUUCGAAAGGAACGCUAAUACCGCAUACGUCCUACGGGAGAAAGCAGGGGACCUUCGGGCCUUGCGCUAUCAGAUGAGCCUAGGUCGGAUUAGCUAGUAGGUGAGGUAAUGGCUCACCUAGGCGACGAUCUGUAACUGGUCUGAGAGGAUGAUCAGUCACACUGGAACUGAGACACGGUCCAGACUCCUACGGGAGGCAGCAGUGGGAAUAUUGGGACAAUGGGCGAAAGCCUGAUCCAGCCAUGCCGCGUGUGUGAAGAAAGGUCUUCGGAUUGUAAGCACUUUAAGUUGGGAGGAAGGGUAGGUAACCUAAUACGUUGCUACUUUGACGUUACCG